UGCGAGCGAACAGAGAAGAGCCCAGCACCGAAUCCCCGCGGCCGAAAUCGGACGCCCGGGAAUGUGGUGUUAGGGAGGAUCCGUUUAUCCCGAGGUCGUGCGGUGCGUCCAAGUCCUUCUUGAACGGGGCCACAGCCCAUAGAGGGUGCCAGGCCCGUAGCGACCGCUGCCGAUCGCGGGAGGGUCUCUCCUCAGAGUCGGGUUGCUUGAGAGUGCAGCCCUAAGUGGGUGGUAAACUCCAUCUAAGGCUAAAUAUGACCACGAGACCGAUAGCGAACAAGUACCGUGAGGGAAAGUUGAAAAGCACUUUGAAGAGAGAGUUCAAGAGUACGUGAAACCGUUCAGGGGUAAACCUGAGAAGCCCGAAAGGUCGAAUGGGGAAAUUCAUUCGCGUUUCGGCCGUCGGCGUUGGAUGGUCGCGUGACGGAUGGCGUACGCGUCGUCCGCGCCUUCCGUUCUUCGAACCGGCGUCGAACGCGUGCACUUUUCCCCUAGUAGGACGUCGCGAUCCGUUGGGUGUCGGUCUACGGCUCGCGGUGGAGCCCGUGCGGUCGUUUCGGCGUAUCGCACGGACCCGCGGUGUCCCGGCCGACUCGCUCGACGGUAUACAGAUGGCGCGGGGCCGCUACACAGUUAGCGUUCGGC
rnacentral:rRNA from 1 species